GGGCUCUUUUUUUUUUUUUUUUUUGCGUUCGACCCCUCGCUUCUUGCGUCCCGCCCACGCUCCGGCAGGGUUCUCCCGGGCUUUUUGAUUUCCUGGGUCUUCGACCUCAGGGUCUUAACUUUAUGCAGCCUCAGCAUCACCAUGAACAUAAGGAAGCUUUUCCAGCCUUCUGCUCUCCACUGGGCAUGGAGGACGGCUGCCAUGAAAAGUACCCUGGGCAGGCAGCAGGGAGUCCUACGCUGGACACAUUCUGGAGGCCGCAGCUACAGAGCCGUCAUUUUUGACAUGGGGGGAGUUCUAGUGCCUUCUCCAGGGACAGUGGCUGCUGAAUGGGAGGUGCAGAAUCGUGUUCCUUCUGGAACUAUAGUGAAGGCCUUGAUCAGAGACGGCGACAGCGGACCCUGGAUGAGGUUUAUGAGAGGAGAGAUGACUACAGAGGCCUUCUUGGAAGAAUUUGGGAGAGUGUGCUCUGAAAUCGCAAAGACUUCCGUGCCUGUGGAUUCAUUUUUCUCUCUGCUGACCAGUGAAACAGUGGCCAAGCCGUUCCCGGUGAUGACACAGGCCAUCUCUCAGAUCAGAGCGGGAGGCCUUCAGACCGCAGUCUUGACCAAUAACUUUUGCCUCUCCAAUGGGAAAAGCUUUUUGCCCCUGGACCGGAAACAGUUUGACGUGGUGGUGGAGUCCUGCCUGGAAGGCGUCUGUAAGCCAGACCCCAGGAUAUACCAGCUGUGCCUGCAGCGGCUGAGCCUGCAGCCCUCAGAGGCCAUUUUCCUGGAUGACCUGGGGCCAAAUCUGAAAGCAGCCGCCAGCCUGGGCAUUCACACCAUCAAGGUUGACCAUCCCGAGAUAGCGGUAAAGGAGUUGGAAGCUCUUCUGGGGUUCCCGUUGUGUGUGGGUAUCCCCAACACGCGUCCUGUGAGGAAGGCCAUGGAGAUUCCGAAGGAUGCCUUGGAGAAGUACCUGAAGGGCUUGCUGGGGACCCACGACACUGGGCCCAUGGAGAUCCUUCAGUUUGACCAUGGACAGUCAAAUCCAACGUAUUACAUCAGGCUGGCUGACCGGCAGCUGGUUCUGAGGAAGAAACCCCCAGGGACCCUCCUUCCCUCUGCCCAUGCCAUAGAGAGGGAGUUCAGGAUAAUGAAAGCCCUUGGGAAUGCUGGUGUCCCUGUCCCCACUGUCCUUGACCUCUGUGAAGACUCAAGCAUCAUCGGUACCCCCUUCUACUUGAUGGAGUACUGCCCAGGCAUCAUCUACAAAGACCCCUCGCUGCCAGGCUUGGAGCCCCACCAGCGGCAAGCCAUAUACACUGCCAUGAACCAAGUCCUGUGCAGAAUUCACAGUGUGGACCUGCAGGCCACGGGCCUGGACAGCUUCGGGAAGCAAGGGAACUAUAUUCAUCGCCAGGUACAGACCUGGACCAAGCAGUACCGAGCAGCGGAGACCAGCAGCAUCCCAGCAAUGGAGAGGCUUAUCCAGUGGCUGCCGCUGCACCUUCCCAGGCAGCAGAGAACCACGGUGGUGCAUGGCGACUUCAGGCUGGACAACCUGAUGUUCCAUCCCGAAAAGGCAGAGGUGCUCGCUGUCCUGGACUGGGAACUCUCUACCUUAGGGGACCCCUUUGCCGACGUGGCGUACAGCUGCCUGGCUCACUACCUACCGUCCAGCUUUCCCAUACUGAGAGGGUUCAGGGACCAGGAUGUGACACAGCUGGGCAUCCCAACGGUGGAGGAGUACUUCAGGAUGUACUGUCUUCACAUGGGCCUCUCGCCCGUCGAUAACUGGAACUUCUACAUGGCUUUCUCGUUUUUCCGUGUGGCUGCAAUUCUACAGGGAGUCUACAAGCGGUCCCUCACAGGACAGGCAAACUCGGCAACUGCCAAACAAAGCGGGAAGCUCACCGAGUUCAUGGCUGAGCUGGCAUGGGACUUUGCCACCAAAGAAGGGUUCCGGAUUUUCAAGGAGAUGCCAGCUGCCAAACCACUAGUGAGAUCCUACCGCGCAUGUGCUGGGUCACGGCCCCCCCAGCAGACCCCCACGGGUGUGAGGAGUUACAGUACCGUAGCAGCUGCUUCCCCUGCUCAGGAGGCAAAGGGAGGCCUGAUCAUCUCUCCAGAGGGCCUCUCCCCUCGGGUCAGAAAGUUGUAUGACCAGCUGUUGCAGUUUAUGGAACAGAACGUGUACCCCCUGGAGCCAGAGCUGCAGAGACACCAGGCCUCGGCUGACAGGUGGACCCCUUCCCCGCUGAUAGAAGACCUCAAGGAGAAAGCCAAGGCUGAAGGGCUUUGGAACCUUUUCCUACCCUUGGAGACAGAUCCUGAGAAAAAAUACGGAGCGGGGCUGACUAACGUAGAGUACGCACAUCUGUGUGAAGUAAUGGGCAUGUCCCUGUAUGCUUCUGAGGUAUUUAAUUGUUCUGCCCCGGAUACGGGGAACAUGGAGCUCCUGGUGCGGUAUGGCACCGAGGAACAGAAGGCCCGCUGGCUGGUGCCACUGCUGGAGGGCAGGAUCCGCUCCUGCUUCGCCAUGACUGAGCCCCAGGUGGCCUCGUCAGAUGCCUCCAAUAUUGAGGCUUCCAUCAGAGAGGAAGGUGGCUCCUAUGUCUUAAAUGGUCGCAAGUGGUGGAUCUCAGGCAUCCUGGAUCCACGCUGCAAACUCUGUGUGUUUAUGGGAAAAACAGACCCACAGGCCCCGAGGCACCAGCAGCAGUCCAUAGUCUUGGUUCCCAUGGACACUCCAGGAAUCAAUGUCAUCCGGCCUUUGUCAGUGUAUGGACUGGAGGAUGCUCCAGGGGGCCAUGGUGAAGUACAUUUCAAGGACGUGCGUGUGCCCAAAGAGAACAUAGUCCUAGGCCCUGGUCGAGGCUUUGAGAUCGCGCAGGGCAGGCUGGGGCCUGGCCGGAUCCAUCACUGCAUGAGGCUGAUUGGGUAUUCGGAGAGGGCCCUGGCGCUCAUGAAGACCCGCGUGAGUCCCCUAAUUCCUACAGUGUCUCACAGCCACUGUUGCUGGCCGGGGAACUUCAAACUCUGGUGCCCUUCUGAAUGAUGAUUUUCAGGAUGAUGUUCAUGCCCAGAAUCUGUGAUCUCUACUUUGCGUCUGCUCUCCUUGGCCACGGAUGACUUACAGAGUGGAAUGGCCACCUCUCUGUCCAAGUGGCCAGAAGCCAAGGCCAGGCUUUAUGGUAGCUGAGGGUGAGGUACCAACGCCCACAGGAUCAUGGGUAGCCAAGAGCCGUCUGUGCUCCCAGCACAUGGUUAAAACUCGGACCCCAGGGAGAUCCUGAGUUGCCUGUUUGUACCUGUGGGGACACAGCACCUCGGCCUAUGCAUAUCACCCUCCUUGUCCAGUGUGUCCAGAACAUAUAAUCUGAGCCAGCAUGGGAUCUUAUUCCAGUAAUUCCAGCCCGUGAAAGCUGAGGCAGAAGGAUUGCUGCAACUUCCAGACUAGGCUAGAUUCCAUAACAAGACACUGUGUGAAACAACAGAAGUCAUUUGCUGUGGGCCCCUUAACAGCUACAGGCCUACAUAGUACAUCAGGGCAGCAGAGUGGGGGUCUGCAGGAGGCAAGGAGCAGUUUGGUUCAGCAUGACUGAGUAGCUGGUGUCGGUUCUAACUUCAUGAGUCUGUCCCCCACAUGGUUUAUUUUAGGUCUCUUUAAGCACAGGAUAAUUUGGUGAAAACUUAUUCUACUGAUGAUUAACUCGAUCCCAUGUGCACAGCAAAGCAUAUAUGAGUCUCUUUGAGAAACAAAGUAAACUCAAUAUAGAUCGGGAGGGACUACAUUGAACCCACAAAAUAUAUAAUAAAACUUAAAGACAGUAUGUAUGUAUAUAUUUAUAUGCAUAUAGAACGUAUGGAGGGGCAAAUACCAACCAUAUGUUUUGAGAUGGGCUUGCUGUGCUAUCCAGAUUGGUCUCAAGCUCCUAGACUCCAACAGCUUGCCUACCUCAACCUCCCAAAUAGCUCACGCUGCAGACACACUGUGCCCUGUUGACAGCCACCUGCUGUCACUAUAGAAAAUUAGAUGGUGGGAUACUAUGUAUUUUUUUCUGCCUUUUGUCUGGAAAUGGAUAGUCGUGCCACAAGAUAAAUUAUUUGUGUAAAAGUUACUUUCCCCAAGGAUAGAUCAAUAAACACAUGAAAGAAGAAUGCCUUGAUAGCCCUUUCCAUCUAAGAUGGGGCUCCAGGGUGUGAGGCUGGCCAUCGUCAGCAGGUGGCGACCUGCCCCUUGGUGAGGCUCCCACAGUCCCCCCCCACCCCUGCCUUCCUGGGUACUGCCUUGGUCAGAAGCAGCUCAGGGCCUUCCCUCUUCCCAGCCUCAUACCCAGAGGUUCAGUAAAGGGUUCUCAGAAGUAAUCUGACCACCAGGAGAUGGUGGCUUAGUGUAGUGUGUGUAAAAAGUGGCUCUCACCUCAAAAGAAGGUGAUUUCAGAGCCAUGUGUGAAUGACCAUUGCCCAGGAAUACAGAUUUAGAUGAUCUCAGAUUCCAUGUUGCAAUGUGUUAAGUUUUACCAAGUUUCCUUUUGUUUUGAGACAGGGUCUCACACUGUGUAGCCCCCACCCCAGUCUCCACCCCACUCCCCGAACUCACAGAGACCCACCUGCUUCUCUUUGGGAUUCAGGUUUGCUGCCAUGCCCAGCUUCAUGAAGUUUGUAUAGGAACAGAACAGAGAGUCAUAAAACACUUGCGGAUAGUUGAUGGCGCAUCAGGCAGGCGAGUCCCAACACAAGUGGGGACAUCUCUGCUGGAGGUCUCUGGUACCAUCUGACAACAUCCUUAGCUUCGGGGUUGGUGGAGGCAGGCAUCUCCACCUUCCAGAAGGACUUCCCUGAGUCACGAGGAUGUUGAUUUCACACAGCAGUGGUCAAUACAUGGCUGUUGAGGCACGAAGGUAGCCUGAGAUUCCUGCCUCUGACCUGCAGCAUUGUGAGCUCUCCGGGGUCACUGAAGCUGUGUCCAGUCCGUCAGCCUUCGCAGGAUGUUCCGCAUAGGUGAUGUCCCGCACAGCCUUCGGGAAGCCCCUUGUGGAGCAUGGCACCAUCCUGGCAGACAUUGCCCGGUCACGUGUGGACAUUGAGCAGGCACGGUUGUUGGUGCUGAA